rnacentral:pre_miRNA from 1 species
GGCGCCAUGCGGCGCUAUGUUUGGCUUUUGGCUGGAUAUGGCGCCGCAUAUCCAGCCAAAAUCCAGCCAAAAGCCAAACAUAGCGCCGCAUGGCGCC